AAUUUUACUGAAGGGAGAAAAAUACUAGUCCUCUGCAGUGCCUGCAGACAAGCUUUUGUGGGGAAAGUGGAUGAAAAUUUACUGCAAUAUGCAGAAAUUAUUGUCUUAAUCGUCUUUUAUAUUGGCUGAAAGAUGGUUUUACAGAUCAUGUUCCUGCUCCUUUCCUGGAAUGGCUUUCAAAGCUAAGUAUUGAUCUCAGUUGUGCCCAGUGCUUUGCAUAGUGUGUGGGGAAACAUUGUACGACUUGAAUAAGGCAUGUCAUCUUAGACAAAGGAUGAUGCUUAUGUGACUGCUGAACAAGAUCUUCUUCUGUAUGCCCUUCUGCUGCAACAGAAAAGUAAAUCUGGUAGGUGGCAGCAUUAGCAGAAGAAACUCAUGUGGCUGUGACCUGAGAAACCUGCAGCAGUACGGGGAGAAACGGAUUGCAAAAUGGUAACUGAAGUAAGGGGGACAGAGAAGAGGGCAGAGUCCCUGAACUUUGUCUUUGCAUGGAAUGUAAUGGUUGUUGAAAGAUGCUGGAUCARCAGUUGCAGAGGUUGAGCUCUUCCCACAGGAAAGGUAACAGAAACUAAGUUUCACCUUUAGAACACAACCUUCGCUGCAUCUCACUCCUUAACUUGGAAAGCCAUUUUCCACAAUCGGAAGAGGAGUUUGGUAUGGUUUUUCUACAUCUGCAAGAAAUCUUCCCUUCCCUGUUAUGGGAACACUUUUCUGUUGAUAUUGCCCCUUCACAAUGAAAGGGAAGAAGGGAUGGAGCAGCAGCAAUAUGAAGUGAGGUGAUGUCCAAUGUUAUUCAGCCUUAAACAGUUGUAAUGAAAAGUGUCUUACUAACAUGAAUAACCAAAUAAAAGAACUGUGAAUUCUAAUCCAUGUGAGUGUGAGAUUCUUCUUGCUAUCUUCCAAUACAGCUAAAUCGGUAAAGUAAAGCCUGCUUGAAUGCCUCCAUCUUAUUAUUGUUUU